GACGACGCUGCGGCGUGCCAUACAUGCAAGUCGAGCGAAUGACGAGAAGCUUGCUUCUCUGAUUAGCGGCGGACGGGUGAGUAACACGUGGGCAACCUGCCCUACAGAUUGGGAUAACUCAGGGAAACCUGGGCUAAUACCGAAUAAUCCUUCGAAUCACAUGUUUUGAAGUUGAAAGGCGCUUCGGCGUCACUGUAGGAUGGGCCCGCGGUGCAUUAGCUAGUUGGUGGGGUAACGGCCUACCAAGGCAACGAUGCAUAGCCGACCUGAGAGGGUGAUCGGCCACAUUGGGACUGAGACACGGCCCAAACUCCUACGGGAGGCAGCAGUAGGGAAUCUUCCACAAUGGACGAAAGUCUGAUGGAGCAACGCCGCGUGAGUGAUGAAGGUUUUCGGAUCGUAAAACUCUGUUGUAAGGGAAGAACAAGUACGUUAGGAAAUGAACGUACCUUGACGGUACCUUAUUAGAAAGCCAUGGCUAACUACGUG
rnacentral:rRNA from 1 species